GAAUAUUCAUAUCUAUACCAACGAAAACUAUUGUUAUAUUUCUAAGUUUGAGAUGCAUAAUCGAUAGGAAGACAUGGGCAAUCCUUUACUUUUACGGAAGACCGGAAACACGAUUAAGUAACCACUCGUGAUAAGAAAAGUCAAGACAAUUGAUAGAUGCAUUAAUAGACGGUCGAGUCCAUUCCUUGAACCCUUGUGGACCAUUAUCCUACACUCACGACGCAAUUUGGCAAUCAUAGUUGAUGCAUCCUAAUUUUGCAGAAGCCUGAUCGAAUGACUCCAUUGGCGUCAAAAACUACAGAGAGCCGUAAUGAAAACUCGCCAUCUUUAAACUGGCUUCCAACAAUACCAACGCAAAUGUUUUUUUCGUGAAAAUUCCUUAUUAAGUUUGAUAUGUCUUCCAUUGAUGAAAAAUGAGUAGGAAUACUGUUUGGUGCAAUGUUCUUUCCAUUAAGAUGAUACGAAACCUCUUGUGAGUUUCGGAAUAGUAUUGCUUUCACUGUCACCGUUCCGUUAGAUAAUGGGUCCGUGUAAAUGCAAAGUAUGUCGUUUUUGGCUUGGUUGAAUGACCAUAUCCAACCGUCAGGUAAUUCCAUUUGGGACACAAAUGUGAAAUACGUGAUGAAGUUUGGUUUGAAGUUCCAUAUACUCUCAUCUGAAAAAGAACGAAAAUAAAUUAUAAUUAAUGUCAGAAACAACAUAUCACCCCAGGUAGCACACAGACUCUGUUUCAGGUCUGUUACAGAUCUGUUUUUGAGAGUCGGUAAAUUGUUUGUAGUGUCCCACUUUUACAGACUGUCACACAGGUCUGUGACAGACCUGACUUACAAAAUCUGUAUAACAGGUUUGUUACAGACCUGACUUACAAAAUCUGUAUAACAGGUUUGUUACAUAACGCGUACCACAGUCUUUGUACUACCAACUGUUUACAGAUCCGUCGUUUCAAUAAUACAAGUAUACAACUCACGCGA
rnacentral:lncRNA from 1 species